AUUGAACGCUGGCGGCAGGCCUAACACAUGCAAGUCGAACGAGUGGCGGACGGGUGAGUAAUGUCUGGUAAACUGCCUGAUGGCGGGGGAUAACUACUUGCAACGGUAGCUAAUACCGCAUACCAUCUGAUGUGCCCAGAUGGGAUUAGCUAGUUGGUGGGGUAACGGCUCACCAAGGCGACGAUCCCUAGCUGGUCUGAGAGGAUGACCAGCCACACUGGAACUGAGACACGGUCCAGACUCCUACGGGAGGCAGCAGUGGGGAAUAUUGCACAAUGGGCGAAAGCCUGAUGCAGCCAUGCCGCGUGUAUGAAGAAGGCCUUCGGGUUGUAAAGUACUUUCAGCGGGGAGGAGGGACCCGCAGAAGAAGCACAGGCUAACUCCGUGCCAGCAGCCGCGGUAAUAC
rnacentral:rRNA from 1 species